rnacentral:rRNA from 1 species
CAGUAGCCGCGGUAAUACGUAGGGUGCGAGCGUUAAUCGGAAUUACUGGGCGUAAAGCGUGCGCAGGCGGUUUUGUAAGACAGGCGUGAAAUCCCCGGGAUCAACCUGGGAAUGGCGCUUGUGACUGCAAAGCUAGAGUGCGGCAGAGGGGGAUGGAAUUCCGCGUGUAGCAGUGAAAUGCGUAGAUAUGCGGAGGAACACCGAUGGCGAAGGCAAUCCCCUGGGCCUGCACUGACGCUCAUGCACGAAAGCGUGGGGAGCAAACAGGAUUAGAGACCCGCGUAGUCCCUGUCUCUUAUAC